rnacentral:rRNA from 1 species
UACGGAGGGUGCAAGCGUUAAUCGGAAUUACUGGGCGUAAAGCGCACGCAGGUGGCUGAGUCAGUCGAUUGUGAAAGCCCUGGGCUUAACCUGGGAAUUGCAGUCGAUACUACUCAGCUAGAGUAUGGGAGAGGGUAGUGGAAUUCCCGGUGUAGCGGUGAAAUGCGCAGAUAUCAGGAAGAACACCGAUGGCGAAGGCAGCUCUCUGGGACGGUACUGACGCUGAGACGCGAAAGCGUGGGGAGCGAACAGG